CCUACGGGGGGCAGCAGUGGGGAAUAUUGGACAAUGGGCGAAAGCCUGAUCCAGCCAUGCCGCGUGUGUGAAGAAGGCCUUCGGGUUGUAAAGCACUUUCAGUGGGGAAGAAAGCCUUGGGGCUAAUACCCUCGAGGAAGGACAUCACCCACAGAAGAAGCACCGGCUAACUCCGUGCCAGCAGCCGCGGUAAUACGGAGGGUGCGAGCGUUAAUCGGAAUUACUGGGCGUAAAGCGCGCGUAGGCGGUCUGAUAAGCCGGUUGUGAAAGCCCCGGGCUCAACCUGGGAACGGCAUCCGGAACUGUCAGGCUAGAGUGCAGGAGAGGAAGGUAGAAUUCCCGGAGUAGAGGUGAAAUGCGUAGAGAUCGGGAGGAAUACCAGUGGCGAAGGCGGCCUUCUGGACUGACACUGACGCUGAGGUGCGAAAGCGUGGGUAGCAAACAGGAUUAGAUACCCCUGUAGUC
rnacentral:rRNA from 1 species